AGAAUCUGAAAAGAAAUGGCAAUGAGCAGAGGUCUCCCACUCUCACGUGGAGGACAGGGUCUGCAGAUGAGUCACAUUGUAGAACUUCACUAUUCACAGAGAAAGCCCCUUCACAUGCAGAAUGUCGCUGGUCUCUCAGGACAAUCCUGUGAGAGACGGGGUCUCAUUAUGUUGCCCGAGGCUUCAGGAUCUUUUCCAAAGCAACAUGAAAAAAAUGUGACCGUAAAUCAAUCAGCUUCUUGGUGUGAUCUAUGCUGACGGCUAAGUGAUAAACGAGUUGGUCAGAGAAAACUGGAAAUAUUUCCAAAGCCAUGUUUACUCCCUUCACCCACCUGUGAGUUUUUGCCUUGACUGUUUCCGACUCGGAAUGGCCUCGCAUUGAUCUUCCUAAUCACAGCCAGCUGAAACCAGCCUCCUUCCUGACGUAUUCAGUAACUUCAGCUGAUUGCCAUCUCUCCUUCAUCUCAACAACCUGUACCACACUCACUGGAGCACUUGGCUUUGCAUCUUUAGUCGACCAGUUCAGAGGUAUACAACCUAGAAGGUAGGGACGGAGGCUUCUACCUGCCUGUACCCCCUU
rnacentral:antisense_RNA from 1 species